rnacentral:rRNA from 1 species
UACAGAGGUCCCAAGCGUUGUUCGGAUUCACUGGGCGUAAAGGGCGCGUAGGCGGAUCUUUAAGUCAGGGGUGAAAGCCUGAGGCUUAACCUCAGAAUUGCCUUUGAUACUGAAGAUCUUGAGACCGGAAGAGGUUAGUGGAACUGCGAGUGUAGAGGUGAAAUUCGUAGAUAUUCGCAAGAACACCAGUGGCGAAGGCGGCUAACUGGUCCGGUUCUGACGCUGAGGCGCGAAAGCGUGGGGAGCAAACAGG